rnacentral:rRNA from 1 species
UAGUCCACGCCGUAAACGAUGAUAACUAGCUGUCCGGGCUCAUAGAGCUUGGGUGGCGCAGCUAACGCAUUAAGUUAUCCGCCUGGGGAGUACGGUCGCAAGAUUAAAACUCAAAGGAAUUGACGGGGGCCUGCACAAGCGGUGGAGCAUGUGGUUUAAUUCGAAGCAACGCGCAGAACCUUACCAGCCUUUGACAUCCUAGGACGGUUUCUGGAGACAGACUCCUUCCCUUCGGGGACCUAGUGACAGGUGCUGCAUGGUUGUCGUCAGCUCGUGUCGUGAGAUGUUCGGUUAAGUCCGGCAACGAGCGCAACCCACGUCCUUAGUUACCAGCAUUUAGUUGGGUACCCUAGGGAGACUGCCGGUGAUAAGCCGGAGGAAGGUGUGGAUGACGUCAAGUCCUCAUGGGCCCUUACGGGGUUGGGGCUACACACGUGCUACAAUGGGCAUUGACAAUGGGGUUAAUCCCUAAAAGAUGUCUCAGUUCGGGAUUGUCGUCUGCAACUCGACGGGCAUGAA